UACGUAGGGAGCGAGCGUUAUCCGGAUUCAUUGGGCGUAAAGCGCGCGUAGGCGGGCAUCUAAGCGGGACCUCUAAUCUCGGGGCUCAACCUCGAGCCGGGUUCCGAACUGGAUGCCUCGAGUUCGGUAGGGGCAAGUGGAAUUCCCGGUGUAGCGGUGGAAUGCGCAGAUAUCGGGAAGAACACCGAUGGCGAAGGCAGCUUGCUGGGCCGCGACUGACGCUGAGGCGCGAAAGCUAGGGGAGCGAACAG
rnacentral:rRNA from 1 species